rnacentral:rRNA from 1 species
GAUGAACGCUGGCGGCGGGCCUAACACAUGCAAGUCGAACGGGAGUUCUGUAAUUGCUUCUUCUGACGAUUUAAUUUAAUUGUACGGGCGGAGGGGAGAGUAACGCGUAGGUAUCCGGCCUUGUUCAGGGAGAUAACAGUAAGAAAUGACUGCUAAUAACGCAUGAGUGCACAGAGGGGAACGGCGGACCUUGAAAUACUCCGGUGGUCUAGGAUGGAUCCGCGUUGGGUUAGCUGGUUGGCGGGGUAAGGGCCCACCAAGGCGACGAUCGAUAGACGGGCUGAGAGGGUGGACGGCCACAUUGGGACUGAGACACGGCCCAGACUCCUACGGGAGGCAGGAGUGGGGAAUAUUGCACAAUGGGGGAAACCCUGAUGCAGCGACGCCGCGUGAAGGAAGAAGUAGGUCGGUAUGUAAACUUCUAUCAGCCGGGAAGAUAGUGACGGUACCUAACGAAGAAGCACCGGCUAACUACGUG